rnacentral:rRNA from 1 species
CAGUAGCCGCGGGAAUACGAAGGGGGCUAGCGUUGCUCGGAAUGACUGGGCGUAAAGGGCGCGUAGGCGGAUUGCGCAGUCAGAUGUGAAAUUCCUGGGCUUAACCUGGGGGCUGCAUUUGAGACGCGUAGUCUAGAGUGUGAAAGAGGGUCGUGGAAUUCCCAGUGUAGAGGUGAAAUUCGUAGAUAUUGGGAAGAACACCGGUGGCGAAGGCGGCGACCUGGUUCAUAACUGACGCUGAGGCGCGAAAGCGUGGGGAGCAAACAGGAUUAGAUACCCCUGUAGUCCCUGUCUCUUAUAC